AAAUGCGAUAACUAGUGUGAAUUGCAGAAUUCCGUGAAUCAUCGAGUCUUUGAACGCACAUUGCGCCCCCUGGUAUUCCGGGGGGCAUGCCUGUCCGAGCGUCAUUGCUGCCCAUCAAGCACGGCUUGUGUGUUGGGUCGUCAUCCCCUCUCCGGGGGGGACGGGCCCCAAAGGCAGCGGCGGCACCGCGUCCGAUCCUCGAGCGUAUGGGGCUUUGUCACCCGCUCUGUAGGCCCGGCCGGCGCUUGCCGAACGCAAAUCAAUCUUUUUCCAGGUUGACCUCGGAUCAGGUAGGGAUACCCGCUGAACUUAAGC
rnacentral:misc_RNA from 1 species